GGCGCACGGGUGAGUAACGCGUGGAUAAUCUGCCUUCAAGUAGGGAAUAACAUUGCGAAAGCGAUGCUAAUACCGUAUAAGCUCACGAUUUGACUAGUUGUGGGAAAAGAUGGCCUAGUCUAUGCUAUCGCUUGAAGAUGAGUCCGCGUACCAUUAGCUAGUUGGUAGGGUAAUGGCCUACCAAGGCUACGAUGGUUAGCUGGCCUGAGAGGGCGGCCAGCCACACUGGAACUGAGACACGGUCCAGACUCCUACGGGAGGCAGCAGUGGGGAAUAUUGCGCAAUGGGGGAAACCCUGACGCANCGACGCCGUGUGAGUGAUGAAGGUUUUCGGAUCGUAAAGCUCUGUCGGGUGGAAAGAAUAAAGGCUGUGUAAAAUAAUGCAGUCUGAUGACGGUACCCCCAAAGGAAGCACCGGCUAACUCCGUGCCANCAGCCGCGGUAAUACGGAAGGGUGCAAGC
rnacentral:rRNA from 1 species